UGCUCACAGACUUCCACUCACAGGAGAGUUGCCCCAGGGGAGCCAGGGUCUUGGGGUAAACAGUGCAGUCUUACCGUCCCCACCAGUAUCUCCUCUCCUCUCACUUGCUGCCUGUCUACAGUCAAGACUUCACUCAAGAAGUCUUCAUAGAGGACAUCCCAGCCCUUCAGGUUUUAUGAAGCUGGUCCCUUCACUUGAAAUGCUUGUUUUUGGGAUCCAGUAGCCCAUUGAAAGACCCAUGUGGAUAGGAGUCGAAACACAGAUUAUGACCAUAAACCAGACCAGGAGAUGUUUGGAAUUUGAUGAUGAUGAUGACUGCAUAGCCCUGGGAACACAGCAAAGUCCACCAAAUUAUACUUUAGAUGGUCUGGAACGGUGGCCAGGUCCAGAGCCUUUCUCCAGAUGAUGUCAUAUCCUUUCUUAAACAGUUUUGAAGCCAGAGGUUGCUCUGGUUGGUCUUUCUUUCUGAACUGAUGCAAACAAAGUCGAUAUGGAUCGUUAAACUUAAUGGGAACAGAAGACUCUGAGAGUCUGCCUCCUUAGAAGGGACAGAAUAGGCAAUCUUGAGGAGGGCACUCACCCCAGCUGGCUCCCUAGCCAAGCUGCCCCUCAAGCAAAAGGAAACAAAAAAGUGGAUGCCAAUUUCUGGUUAGAUCUUUGCCCCUUAAAGAUUAUGGUAGUGGCAGGGGUUAUACUUAGUUAUAGUUACAGAGAAUAUGGCCAUGGAAGUGGUUUGUGAUGAAUUUCCUUGGGCAAUAUUUUUAUUGCGGAGUCUCCUUAUCACCUUCAUUCUCAACCUUUAGCAGCUGAAUUGGAGUCUCGUUUUCUUGGGGGUGCACCGUCUCCAUUCCCCAGAAGCUAUGGGGUCACAGGUGGGUAGAGCUUUCUUUGUGAAUCUGAAAGCUCCUAUUAGAGAGGCCAACAGACAGAAACCCAUGUGCCGGAAUCCUGCGCUCAUCUCAGUAAACAAAACAGGCUGAAGAAAAAAGACCCCGAGGGAAUCGGGAACUGGAGCAGUUAGGACUUUCUGUUUCCUGUUUCUGUUCUUUUUUUAUUGCAAGCAGGCCUCUUCUGAAAUUAAGGGAAGCCAUAAAGUUCUGGAUGGACACGGGUCACAGGAAGUGACUCUUCUCUUUAUAGGCUGGAUCAAAAGCUGCAAAGCCGACAUCUGUGACAGAGCCAGCACACAGGGACUGGGCAGAAUGAGAAAGACCGUGCUCUUGGCCCUCUUCCCUCAAUCCCUUCUUUGUUCAUUGCCUUGGUGGGAACUUGGGUGCUUCUGGCUUCACUGGCAUCAUGCCACACAUUCUGUUGGAUUCACCUCUGGCAUUGGGUCUCCCUGUCUUCCAAAAGGCUUGAAUUUCCUCCUCAGUAUAAGAGAACAAAACUAUGGCAUGUAUUAGACACUGAGUGAAGGAGAGCACUUACCUGGGCUUUAGAAAAUUUUAAUUAUAGAGCAAAACUCCUUUCUUUCUGCCUCCUCAUUUGUUUUUUGAAACAGGAUUUUACUAUGUAACUCUCACUAUAUAAGCCAGAACCAUGAUCAGUUUAGAAAGGACAUUCUGUUUCUUCUCAUUUAUGUUCUUCCCUUUCUUAAAGAAAUAUAAUUUGUCUUAGUUACUGUUCUAUCACUGUGAACAAAACAAAAAUGGCCAAGGCAACUUAACAAGAGAAAGCAUUUAAUUGGGGACUUGUUGACAGCUUCAGAGGCAAUUCCAUGACUAUCCUGGCAGGGAGCAUGGAGGCAGGCAGACAGGCAUGGCGCUGGAGCAGAAGCUGGGAAUGCACUCCCUGAUCUGCAGGCUGUAGGCCAAGAGAAUCAAUCCCAACCUGCUAUGGACUUUCAAGACCUCCAAGACCAUGUCCAGUGACACACCUCCUCCAAGGUGGCCACACCUCCUAAUGCUUCUGUAUUGAUGCUUUCAUCCAUGUUUCAGAUUCCUGUACAAUGGAGGAGAUAAUGUUAGGUAAACAGAAACAAAAGAAAACCCAUGCAAUUUACAUUUAAUGUAGAUCACUCUGACGACAGAGUGACACCCAUUCUUCUCACGCCUUAGUACGAUGGAAAAUGGUUGACUUUCUGAAAAGGAAGGGUAACAAGAGUUUCUGAUGGUUAAAUAGAGAUACAUUGGUGGCAGUGACAGGGCACCCCUGUGCCUUGGGGAUGGUUUGACAGAGAGAGGGUGAUGCAGUUAUGGGACUCACCCAUUUCUCACUGUUUAUGACUUCCUGACUCUUCUGUGAGUCAAUACUAGGAGAUCCCAGCACAGAAAUUAGUUUUACUCUGAGGUUUUGGGGCCUUGUUGAAAAAAAAAAACAACAAAAAACAAAAAAAAAACACAACACUGAGGUCAUUUGUUGGGGCAAACCAGGGAGUGAAGCUUCUCAGCUAAUCUAAUGUUUGUUUCUCCAGGGCAGAGUUUGGUUACAGGGGUUUUAGAGGGUAAGGUAUUGCAUUCCCUCCAGGGGAUAACUUCUCCAUUUCUUUUAGGUGACUUGGCUGGGCAUGCUCUUAUGCAAAACCUUUGAGGACCUAGCACUAUUCACACUGCUUCCAGGGAAACCUGUUUCAGGGUGUGCAUUUCCUCUUCUCAGGGCGUUUGCACACACUUCUACUCCAACUGUGUACCACCCUCCCUACCCUGCCUGGCUGGUUAAUUCUUAGUUGUCUUCCGGCUUCAGGUAAACCAUCAGUUUCCUCAGAAAAUGUGUUCCAACUUUGUCAUGUCAUUUGUACCCCUGCCAGCUCUCCUCUCAUAUUGUGUAUCACUCUGUCACCUCCCUUCUGUCAAGGCAGUGUCUUCUACCACCGGGUCCCUGUCCUCACAGUCCCUCUACACUGAGUCUUGCUGAAUGUCACUCCUUCUCUUCCUAAAAUUUCCCUGUUUUCUUUCUCUUCUAUUCUUUCAUCUUGUCUUUAAUGAAAGUUAUUAGAAUUGAAAUGGAAUCAUCCUUGUUAUGAAAGACUUAAAAAUUAGCAAAGAAAUAUAGCCCAGAUAAGGAAACUCUCCAAACAGAAUGUAGGGCAGCCUAACCCAGAAACUAACUAAGGCCACUACUAUGACUUAGUGCCUGGAAUUUACCAGCCACCAGCAAUUACUCCCUUACAAGGUCAUAAGAUAACUGGUUACCAAGAAUUCCCAGAUGGCCACCCUCCCCGAGAGGCUCAUGAAGGAAACAGAUUGUCCCACCGACCAGUGUGUCAAUAAUCAACAAUUAAGGGUCCCUAUGAAACAAAGAGAUAGCUAUCAUUUGCUCAGGAAAGAUUAGUUAGCACAUCCUGAGGUCUGCAGGUUUUACAGAUGGUCAGGAGGCCAUCUGAUUCCCAGCCCUCCCCUCAAGACAAAGGACCUCCUAGGAACCCAUGACUCUGGUCACGUACUCAAGGGACAGAGAGGCGAGGCCCUUCCCUAAGCUUGUAGUUUUUGCCUUUAAAAACACCUGUGCCUGGGGGACGGUGCUGCUCUCUAGCCUGCAUGCUGAGAGAGCCUGUUUGUACAAAUGUCCACCUUCCAUUAAAGCCUCUUGCUGUUUGCAUCAAGUUUCG
rnacentral:lncRNA from 1 species